rnacentral:tRNA from 1 species
GAGCUUGUUGUCUAAUGGGUAGGACAGCGUUUUAUAAAUAACGCCCUGUGCGAUUUCGAUACUCGCCAAGCUCACCA